UUGCAAUGUUCGUACUGUGAGACGCCUAAGACAGAGCUACAGGGAGACAGGGCGGACAGCUGAUCGUCCUCGCAGAGGCUGGACUGAGGGCUUGAGGCUGGACUGUAGGCCUGUUGUAAGGCAGGUCCUCACCAGACAUCACCGACAACAACGUCGCCUAUGGGCACAAACCCACCGUCGCUGGACCAGACAGGACUGGCAAAAAGUGCUAUUCACUGACGAGUCACGGUUUUGUCUCACCAGGGGUGAUGGUCGGAUUCACGUUUAUCGUUGAAGGAAUGAGCGUUACACCGAGGUCUAUAUUCUGGAGCAGGAUUGAUUUGGAGGUGGAGGGUCCGUCAUGGUCUGGGCCGUGUGUCACAGCAUCAUCGGACUGAGCUUGUUGUUAUUGCAGGCAAUCUCAACGCUGUGCUUUACAGGGAAGACAUCCUCCUCCCUCAUGUGGUACCCUUCCUGCAGGCUCAUCCUGACAUGACCCUCCAGCAUGACAAUGCCACCAGCCAUACUGCUCGUUCUGUGCGUGACUUCCUGCAAGACAGGAAUGUCCGUGUUCUGUCAUGGCCAGCGAAGAGCCCGGAUCUCAAUCCCAUUGAGCACGUCUGGGACCUGUUGGAUCGCAGGGUGAGGGCUUGGGCCAUUCCCCCCCAGAAAUGUCCGGGAACUGGUGCAGUCCAUGAGGAGAUGCUCUGCAGUACUUAAUGCAGCUGGUGGCCACACCAGAUACUGACUGUUACUUUUGAUUUUGACCCCCCCUUUGUUAAGGGACACAUUAUUCCAGUUGUGUUAGUCACGCCUGUGGAACGUGUUCAGUUUAUGUCUCAGUUGUUGAAUCUUGUUAUGUUCAUACAAAUAAGUUUGCUGAAAAUAAAUGUAGUUGACAGUGAGAGGACGUUUCUUUUUUGUUGAUAUAUAUAUAUAUAUAUGCCUGUAUAAAACCCAGAUUGGCAUGUGGACACACCCAGUAAAACCAGUUCUAUAUAAAAGCCAGGUUGGUUGGUUAUACAGUAGUGUAAUGUUCUUUUUAAAACUUAAUCUCACGCACACAAGAAAACCUUUAUGGAUCACGUGUUUUUAACAGCCUGGGAGAGGUAGAAUACUGGACAUGAAACUAAACACCUCUCAGACUCCUCCCGCUCUCACUCUCUACUUCCAGCCCUCGACUAUGCUUUUAAACCCCAUCUCAUUAGAAAGGUGGGAGCCGAGGUAAAACCCCCAUCUCAUUAUAAAUGUGGGAGCCGAGGUAAAACCCUAUCUCAUUAUAAAGGUGGGAGCCGAGGUAAAACCCCCAUUUCAUUAUAAAGGUAGGAGCCGAGGUAAAACCACAUCUCAUUAUAAAGGUGGGAGCCGAGGUAAAACCCCCAUCUCAUUAUAAAGGUGGGAGCCGAGGUAAAAACCCCAUCUCAUUAUAAAGGUGGGAGCCGAGGUAAAACCCCCAUCUCAUUAUAAAGGUGGGAGCCGAGGUAAAACCCCCAUCUCAUUAUAAAGGUGGGAGCCGAGGUAAAACCCCCAUCUCAUUAUAAAGGUGGGAGCCGAGGUAAUUUAAGUGUUCCGUUAAAGAUUCAUAUGAAUGUCAUGAAUUACACUCACUGUAGCACUGUUAAAUGUUAACAAGUAUUACUAAAAUGUCUUCCCACUUCUGUUCUGAGUACCGCAUUUCUUACUGAACAGCUAACAACAAAACAUGGAGAGAGCAAAAUAUUUUUAACCCCCCCAUUUUUGCAUUGUAUCCACUGAAAGAAUGUAGACCAUUUCACAUUGGCCUAUAUGUCGUUCUGUUUGCUAAGUGAACAAAGGUUCAUGUAAUUCACAAGACAGAUCGUCCUUCCAGGUGACAGAAAUGUGACAGCUGGGGUCAGAUGGUCACCAGUGUGUGUGCGUGUCUGUGUGCACAUAUGUGUGGGGGUCGUCACUUCAGCGGACUCCCAUGUGGCUUUGCGGCGCUGCAAUGUGCCAUCCAUGCUGACAGCAUUACCCAGGGGGCUAUGGGGGUGGACAUGACAGACAGGUGAUUGACAGGUUGGGGGCAGAGGAGCCACUCAGUAAAUUAGCCGUCCCCAUAGGGUCCCAGAGGUCCCCACAAACCAUAAAGGGACCUAAUCUGGACACAUUGAUGCACUCAAACUGCCACCAACCGUGAGAUGUUGGGGGUUGGGUGAAUUUGAAAGGUGUAGCAACGUUUACCAGACCAUUUACUAAAGUGGUGUGAGAGUGGACACUGCACAGACAGACAGGUGCAUAGUAAAGAUGCUUUACUGUACAGGUAAGUCAAAAAUGGACACCUUCUUUAAGGAGGGAGAGAGGGAAGAGAGCAGACAAACAGAGCAUGAGAAAAAGGGUCAAUUGGAUAACACAAAUAAUUAACAGGUCAUCUCCGGAUCUCCAUUUAUUAGAAGGGAUGCCUAGCAACCCCAGACCUCCAGAGAGCAGGGCAGAACAGGGCCAAGCAGGAUGAUGUAGCCCAGCAACGGCCCUCUGGUGGCGGGGAAGAGAGUCACUGUGGUAGUGGCUCCUGGAUCCUCUGGGGUCUCCAGCUGUGUAGGCCUGAAUGCUCUACUGCUCUCAGCAAUAAAUGUUUAAAAUUCUGGGCCAGUUACUCGGAGAGACCUAAAUAGAUACAUAAAACAAUCCAUUCAGUCACAAACUACAAAACCUAUCAGAUAAUAAAAAUCUCAACUGUAAAGAUCUUGAACAGGCCCCACAACCCACAAGAAAAGCAUAGCUAUGUGGGGAACAACCUCCCCCAAAUGUCCAUAAACAAAGCCGAAUUGACUCACAGCGAAACUGUAAUGGAUCUUAUGUACCACAGGGGGGCACAAUAUAACAUCCAAUGAGAGUCUCUUCUUGUCUGUUCAGCAGGUUGUCUCUGAUAACUCUGGGUCAUUACCACAUGUUGAAAUGGGCCGGAAAGAAGGCUGUGUGUCUCCCUGCUAUCACACUACAGUCAAUAAACAAAACCAUUCAUUUACCAGGCCGCCGUACAAACAGGCCACACAGACUGGUUUAGAAAUAAACGGCUAAAUCAGAUUAAAAUCGAUCUAAUUAGAUAGGCAGUGACUGUGAAACCCUACCAUAGCUGGCUGACUGUACAGCCAGAGGGGUUGUUAGAGCUGAGCCUCAGUAAAAAAGAAAAUGCUGUCAACUUGAGGAUUCAUGAAAGUUGACGCUCCAAUCCCCUCUAUUCCUCUGUCCACGUGCUUCAAGUCUGUUAUUGCAUAGUAAAGCUGUGUGUGUGUCUUAAUACCGUUAUUCCAUACAAAAGCUGGGAGCUUAGCUAAGAGAGCCUUUCAGUGGAGUCACAGACGGCGCCUCUUCUGUGUAUGUGUGUGUGUGUGUGUGUGUGUGUGUGUGUGUGUGUGUGUGUGUGUGUGUGUGUGUGUGGAGUCUCAGAUGGCGCCUCUUCUGGGAAGCAGCUUAACUAAAGAGACAAAGGAAAGGUGAAGCAGGUGUUGACCCCUGACCUUUCUCUCCUGACCCCAGGCAGCAGUGCUUCCUAAUCCCAAACCGCAAGUUAGUCUUUAUCAGUGUGUGUGUGUGUGUGAUUCCAGAGGAUGUUGUCAUUAGUGACAGCAGAGAAAACGCAUUUAAAAAACAACCAGACAGCUUUUCUAGCACAAACACACAGACUUUAAUACUCACCAACUUACCAACCACCAACUUCAAUAAAUAGGGACUAGGCCUGCAGAACAUCUGUAUGUAUGCAUGCCCAGAUGUGUGUGUGUGUGUGUGUGUGUGUGUGUGUGUGUGUGUGUGUGUGUGUGUGUGUGUGUGUGUGUGUGUGUGUGUGUGUGUGUGUGUGUGUGUGUGUGUGUGUGUGUGUGUGUGUGUGUGUGUGUGUGUGUGUGUGUGUGUGUGUGUGGGUACCUGUGCAUACGAACGUAUGACUGAGUGUGUGUAGCAUCUGAGUGCAGUCACAUGGAGGAGAACUCCUCCUCCCUCGCUUUGCUGUAGACGUAUACGGUGAGGAGUUUGUCCGUCUGAAUGAGGACAAACAGGGGGAGGAGAACGGAUAGAUCGAGAUAUUGCACAGUGGUGUAAAAGAGAAAGAAAGAACAGAUUGAAACUACAGGGGGAGGAGAGAGAAAGGAGGAUAAACCGUGCAAGACAAAUGAGCAGCAGUAAUCAGAGGAGGGCUUUGAAACAAUCUGCAUACGUGCACAGUUGCACGCACGCACACAUGAACACACGCACACUGGAGGCUGGGGCCCAGGGGGAGAGGGUGUGGUCCCCUCAGUAAAUUCCUGAUCAGUCACGCUCGAGAGGAACCAGUCAAAAAAGACUUGGGGUGGCUGAAAAGAGUCAGGUUGCAGACUUUCAGCUCCACAAUGCUUUACACUGGACUGACCCUGAAGCCUGUAGGAUCACACCAGCAUUAACUCCUUACAGGUAGUCUUAUCCUAGACAGCAUGAACUCCUUACAGGUAGUCUUAUCCUAGACAGCAUUAACUCCUUACAGGUAGUCUUAGCCUAGACAGCAUUAACUCUUUACAGGUAGUCUUAUCCUAGACAGCAUUAACUCCUUACAGGUAGUCUUAUCCUAGACAGCAUUAACUCUUUACAGGUAGUCUUAUCCUAGACAGCAUUAACUCCUUACAGGUAGUCUUAUCCUAGACAGCAUUAACUCUUUACAGGUAGUCUUAUCCUAGACAGCAUUAACUCUUUACAGGUAGUCUUAUCCUAGACAGCAUUAACUCUUUACAGGUAGUCUUAGCCUAGACAGCAUUAACUCUUUACAGGUAGUCUUAUCCUAGACAGCAUUAACUCCUUACAGGUAGUCUUAUCCUAGACAGCAUUAACUCUUUACAGGUAGUCUUAUCCUAGACAGCAUUAACUCUUUACAGGUAGUCUUAUCCUAGACAGCAUUAACUCUUUACAGGUAGUCUUAUCCUAGACAGCAUUAACUCUUUACAGGUAGUCUUAUCCUAGACAGCAUUAACUCUUUACAGGUAGUCUUAUCCUAGACAGCAUUAACUCUUUACAGGUAGUCUUAUCCUAGACAGCAUUAACUCUUUACAGGUAGUCUUAUCCUAGACAGCAUUAUUAACAUGACUAAGAGUGUGUAACCUCGUCCUUUUACCUGUUCAACAGGGUGCCUGCAGGCAGAAGAGAUUAGGGAUUGUGGGACUAAAAGUCACUAUUCUCCACUGACCAAGAUCCAUUUGGAUCAAAACAGUGUCUUGCUUCAACAAAGGUAACCUAACAUGAGCGCUGUGACGAUCAUGGCAUUUUGGUUAUUGGUGAGCCAAUAAGGAAGGGCAGCAAAAUACAAUUAUAUCAUUUAUCAUAUCGUCUUUUUUUCUAAAAACUGUUAGGACGGUUAUUGUAUUUUAAUGACAGUCUCCAUGCAUAACCGUUGGUUGCAUGGUUUUAUGUCAAUUGUGCCAGCCCUAC